UACGGAGGGUGCGAGCGUUGUUCGGAAUCACUGGGCGUAAAGCGCGUGUAGGCGGCCUGCUAAGUCUGAUGUGAAAGCCCGAGGCUCACCCUCGGAAGCGCAUUGGAAACUGGCAGACUGGAGUCCCGGAGAGGAGGGUGGAAUUCCUGGUGUAGCGGUGAAAUGCGUAGAUAUUGGGAGGAACACCGGUGGCGAAGGCAGCUCUCUGGGACGGUACUGACGCUGAGACGCGAAAGCGUGGGGAGCGAACAGG
rnacentral:rRNA from 1 species